AGUGAACGCUGGCGGUAGGCCUAACACAUGCAAGUCGAACGGCAGCACAGUAAGAGCUUGCUCUUACGGGUGGCGAGUGGCGGACGGGUGAGGAAUACAUCGGAAUCUACUUUUUCGUGGGGGAUAACGUAGGGAAACUUACGCUAAUACCGCAUACGACCUACGGGUGAAAGCAGGGGAUCUUCGGACCUUGCGCGAUUGAAUGAGCCGAUGUCGGAUUAGCUAGUUGGCGGGGUAAAGGCCCACCAAGACGACGAUCCGUAGCUGGUCUGAGAGGAUGAUCAGCCACACUGGAACUGAGACACGGUCCAGACUCCUACGGGAGGCAGCAGUGGGGAAUAUUGGACAAUGGGCGCAAGCCUGAUCCGGCCAUACCGCGUGGGUGAAGAAGGCCUUCGGGUUGUAAAGCCCUUUUGUUGGGAAAGAAAAGCAGCAGGUUAAUACCCCGCUGUUCUGACGGUACCCAAAGAAUAAGCACCGGCUAACUUCGUG
rnacentral:rRNA from 1 species